GGAAAGUUGGGAAGUUUAAGAUGGAGUCUAAGUUCGUGAUUUUCUUGUUGUUUGUCUUUAUGGCUGACAUGACUUCGGUCGUCAACAGUCAGAGUAAAACUACGGUAAGUUUGUCGUGUUAUGAUAUCUAGGCACUAGGCUUUACGUACGGUACAUUUACUGGUAAUUCAUUGAUAUUAGACAGCUGUAUCAGUUCUCGCUAGAGGACAAGUCUAUCAGUCCUUAUGGCUCCGGUGUUAUACUACAGGAGGAAACCUAAAGUAAACUACGUUAUUUAUACUGGCCCAUACAGGAUACCUCGAUCACUUCUAAACUGUUGUCCCUUCACGUUUAGAAUAAGGACAACCCACCGCCCCAUGCAGUGUAAGCUCAGGAAUGGAUUUACUGCGGGAGUGCAGGGGUGUGGGCAACACACUCAGGAUCCGGUUGGAUAUCAAUCCAUGUGUUAGCUACUAGACGAGCUACCUAAUUAACCAAACUCAUUUUAUUUAUACUCAACGUCCAGUAUAAGGACCAUCUUGUGUUGCUAAUUGUGUUAUUAUAUCCUCAACAAAUCUUUGUCAUUUUUUAUUAGUCUUCUCAGGUGACCUGUGGUUCUGCAGGUAUCCCAGGUAUCCCUGGAAUUCCAGGAAAUCCCGAAAGAGAUGGUAUACCUGGGUCACGUGGUGCUGCGGGAGCGAAAGGGGAGCCUGGGGAGAGAGGAGAUGAUUACGUAGAUUUGGUGAAGUCAAAUUGGAAACAAUGUGUUUGGAAGAGAAAUGAUGGCAAAGACACUGGCUUGAUACAG